UACGUAGGGUGCGAGCGUUGUCCGGAUUCACUGGGUGUAAAGGGUCCGCAGGCGGGGCGGCAAGUCGUUGGUGAAAUCCUGGGGCUUAACUCCAGAAUUGCCGACGAUACUGCCGUUCCUGAGUGCAGAAGAGGGAGACGGAAUUCCUGGUGUAGCGGUGAAAUGCGUAGAUAUCAGGAAGAACACCGGUGGCGAAGGCGGUCUCCUGGUCUGUUACUGACGCUCAGGGACGAAAGCGUGGGGAGCAAACAGGAUUAGAAACCCUAGUAGU
rnacentral:rRNA from 1 species